GAUGAUCAAAGAGCUGGAGCACCUCUUAUGAAGAAAUGCUGUGGGAGUUGGGCUUGUUCAGCCUGAAGAAAAAGCUCUGGGGAGACCUCACUGCAGACGUCCAGGACGCUGUGCUGCCUCAAGGACUCCUGCGCCAACGUCUCUUCCAGCUUCUCAGGGUGCCCAUGAAGGCAGCAAAAGAUGCACAAGCUUGCUUUCAUUCUGAAGAAAGUGCUGAGGUACAAGUGUGGGAUGGGGAGCGGGGAGGAGGCAGAGCAUCACCCAGGAGGCAUUAAGCUAUGUCAUUCAACCAAAUAAUUAGGUCUCAUCAGGAACACGUGUUCUCUUUAGUUGCAAGUACUAAAGUACUUCAAGCAUUUACCCGAGUGCUUUCGUUUGAUUUUGAUGAUGCUGGAUUUUUUUCCCCUUUGCGCUGC
rnacentral:lncRNA from 1 species